rnacentral:rRNA from 1 species
CGUAACUUCGGGAGAAGGUGCGCCCUUUGGUGUGGUCACGUGCGUGACUGAGCAUCGAAGGGUCGCAGUAACCUGGCCGCUGCGACUGUUUAUCAAAAACACAGCACUCUGCAAACACGAAAGUGGACGUAUAGGGUGUGACGCCUGCCCGGUGCUGGAAGGUUAAUUGAUGGGGUCAGCCGCAAGGCGAAGCUCUUGAUCGAAGCCCCAGUAAACGGCGGCCGUAACUAUAACGGUCCUAAGGUAGCGAAAUUCCUUGUCGGGUAAGUUCCGACCUGCACGAAUGGCGUAACGACAGCGGCGCUGUCUCCACCCGAGACUCAGUGAAAUUGAAAUCGCUGUGAAGAUGCAGCGUUCCCGCGGCAAGACGGAAAGACCCCGUGAACCUUUACUAUAGCUUUACACUGAACGUUGAGUUCUUCUGUGUAGGAUAGGUGGGAGGCUAUGAAACCAGGACGCUAGUUCUGGUGGAGCCAUCCUUGAAAUACCACCCUGAAGUGCUUGACGUUCUAACCUAGGCCCGUAAUCCGGGUCAGGGACCGUGUAUGGUGGGUAGUUUGACUGGGGCGGUCUCCUCCCAAAGAGUAACGGAGGAGCACGAAGGUACGCUCAGCGCGGUCGGACAUCGCGCACUGUGUGCAAAGGCAUAAGCGUGCUUGACUGCGAGAUCGACGGAUCAAGCAGGUACGAAAGUAGGUCUUAGUGAUCCGGUGGUUCUGUAUGGAAGGGCCAUCGCUCAACGGAUAAAAGGUACUCCGGGGAUAACAGGCUGAUACCGCCCAAGAGUUCAUAUCGACGGCGGUGUUUGGCACCUCGAUGUCGGCUCAUCACAUCCUGGGGCUGUAGCCGGUCCCAAGGGUAUGGCUGUUCGCCAUUUAAAGUGGUACGCGAGCUGGGUUCAGAACGUCGUGAGACAGUUCGGUCCCUAUCUGUCGUGGGCGUUGGAGAUUUGAGGGGGGCUGCUCCUAGUACGAGAGGACCGGAGUGGACGUUCCGCUGGUGUUCGGGUUGUCAUGCCCAUGGCAUUGCCCGGUAGCUACGAACGGAAGUGAUAACCGCUGAAAGCAUCUAAGCGGGAAGCACGCCCCAAGAUGAGAUCUCCCGAGAGCUUGACUCUCCUAAAGGCACCAUCAAGACUAGGUGGUUGAUAGGUCAGGUGUGGAAGCGCAGCAAUGCGUUGAGCUAACUGAUACCAAUGAGCCGUGAGGCUUGACCAA